rnacentral:tRNA from 1 species
AAUAAAGUGCCUGAAUAAAGGAUUAUUCUGAUAGGAUAAAUUAUGUAGGUUUCUACCUUUAUUA